rnacentral:rRNA from 1 species
GAGGAAUAUUGGUCAAUGGGCGCAAGCCUGAACCAGCCAUCCCGCGUGCAGGAUGACGGCCCUAUGGGUUGUAAACUGCUUUUAUUUGCCAAGAAUGGUUACUACGUGU